GGACGAACGCUGGCGGCGUGCCUAAUACAUGCAAGUCGAACGGUCUUUUCUAUGGAAGCUUGCUUCCACUGGGAAGAUAGUGGCGGACGGGUGAGUAACACGUGGGUAACCUGCCCAUAAGAGGGGGGAUAACAUCCGGAAACGGGUGCUAAUACCGCAUAGUUUUCUUGAUCGCAUGAUUGAGAAAGGAAAGACGGUCUUUGUGCUGUCGCUUAUGGAUGGACCCGCGGCGUAUUAGUUAGUUGGUGAGGUAACGGCUCACCAAGACGAUGAUACGUAGCCGACCUGAGAGGGUGAUCGGCCACAUUGGGACUGAGACACGGCCCAAACUCCUACGGGAGGCAGCAGUAGGGAAUCUUCCGCAAUGGACGAAAGUCUGACGGAGCAACGCCGCGUGAGUGAAAGAAGGUUUUCGGAUCGUAAAACUCUGUUGUCAGAGAAGAACAAGUCGGAGAGUAACUGCUCCGGCCUUGACGGUAUCUGACCAGAAAGCCACGGCUAACUACGUGCCAGCCGCGGC
rnacentral:rRNA from 1 species